CCGGCUCAUUUUCUGUUCAACAAAGAGAAAUCCAAAAACGUUAACAGCAGCAGCGGCGUGGACGACACCCUCGACCCUGCAUAAAAUCGUCCUUGUGGCCCCGAGGACGAUGGAAUUCAUCCAACCCGUCCGUUCUUCUUUCCUCUUCCGGAAUGGAGUUGAAUUCUCAGAAAAAGUUGUCUAUCCUAAAUUGGUGAAAGCUUUGAGAAUUCAAAAUUGAGAUGGGUCUCUUCUCAUCCGUUCGCCCCCUUUUUCUUUUGGGAGAAUCCUAAUUCACCUUCUAUAUAUUAUUGUUCUCCACUGUUAGGAAGGGGAUUUUUAUUUUGGAAGCUUAAAAGUUUUCGGCAAAAUUUUUUAUAGAGAAAAGAAAGUUGCUAAGCUAAAACGUUCAUAUAAGAAAAUACAUUCUGAAUAUAUACUUGAUUUCUUUGUUCUUGGUUUGCUGGGAAUUUGCCGGUUUCUUUGAAGUUAUUCCUUGAAGUUGGUGGCAAAGUCGCGUUCUCCAAGCUCGUCAGCCUUUCUUGUUCGCCGCACCCUAAAAGGGAUUCACUACGAUCCAAAUAAAAAGUUUCUUGUUCAUGGGAAAUUGCAUUGAAGGUUAAAAAUUGAAGGCAUAGGGACUUAUGUUUGAACAUGGAGAUUGGACAUCACCUUGAUCUAUUUCAGACUCUUUAUGUUCCCUUAGUUUCUAGAAAUUUGAUUUCUCUUUCAAGACUUAUGUUUCUGGAUUUGAUUUUAAGUUUGGACAUGGUUGUUUCAAUUUGUAUAAAAAUACUAUUUUAUGGUUCUGUUGUUCUUAUUAACGAUUUAUAUAGAUCGGAACUCGAUAAUAAUUAGAUGUAGUCCACUAAA